AUUUUCAUCAGAAAAACUUGCAGUGGAAGGUUCUAUUCAAAAAAGUGAAGGUCAGACUCUAUCCAGCCCUUAUGGAGUGAAGAAGCGAUCUGCUGCUUCAAAAUUUCUGGAAAAUCGUGGAUUUGGCUGGUUAACGGAAGAAGAAGAAUUAGAUGAGGAAGAUCAAAAACCACUUUUGUAAGCUUUAUUUAAAAUAAAUGACAAAAGUUACUGUCAUAUUGAAAGUAAACAUAUAUAUUUAUUUAUUGAUGAAUUUGUAUUGCAUAUGUAUCAAAAGCCAUAGAUUUGAUUUUCAUUUUACUGUGGAAGUAGAAGGAACACUAAAUCAUGAAGUCUAAAGUAUACAAACCAGUGGCUGGCAAAAAUAUUGAAUAUGCUAUUGCACAUGCUCUACAUUUUCAUAGCAGUGUCAGAAGGAUAAUGAGUUUGUGUAACUUCUUAUUUGUAUGUAACAGUCAAAUAGAUCUAUAUGAGUCUGUUAUGAUUUAGAGAGGAGUUGGACAUUGACCCAAAGGAUAUCUACUAUAAAUUACGCUGUGUACUUUUCCCUCUCCCCCAACUUGGAUUUAAUCGCCAUGUAGUCCGAGAAAGUCCUGACUUCUGGGGUCCACUUGUGGUCAUACUUCUUUACUCUCUGGUGUCACUGUAUGGACAGUUCAGGGUAAGUUUGAUUAGUGAAAAUUGACAGAUUAAUUCUCUUUGGACAGGCUGUUUCUUCUCAGCAAUAUUGCAAUUAUUCAUUGUGCGUAUAAUACUAAUAGUUAACAACUUCUGCAGCUCUGUUAUAUACCAGGGGUAAUGGAGUAUCACCAACAGGUAAUAGUUACUUAAUGUUAUAUCUUAAAUACAAACUAUUCUUGACUUUUGCAUCCACUUACAGGUGGUGUCCUGGAUUAUAACAAUAUGGAUUUGUGGAUCACUCAUCAUUUUCUUGUUGGCAAGGGUUCUUGGUGGGGAGGUGAGCUAUUCUCAGUGCCUGGGUGUGAUUGGUUACUCAGUGUUACCACUGGUUAUCACUGCAGCCAUAUUGCCACUCUUCAGGAGAUUUCACUAUGUCAGUCUGUUAUUAAAGUUUUUUGGAGUGCUUUGGGCAGCCUACAGCGCAGGGUCUCUGUUGUGUGUUCAGGAACUUCAGCAGAAGCGCACCCUCCUAUUGUACCCAGUGUUCCUCCUGUACAUCUACUUCCUGUCUCUGUACACAGGAGCCUGAUUUAAACAAAACUGACAAUAAACUGCAUUCACUCUACAUAAUCAUGUGCAUAUAUUUAUGACGUUCUUUGUGCCUGUGUGAAACAGUGGUAUAUUUUGUUAUAUUAUCUAAGAUCUGUGAUAUUUAAAAUAGAAAAUGUUGUUAAUGAUAAUCUGCCAGCCAUAUCCAUAUGUACAUGUAAGCAACAGCAUAACUUAAGUGAUGCUUAUAAUUUAAGAAUUCAUACCCAGAUGUCUACAUGGGUGCAUGUAUUUUUAAGAAUAUAUGUAUAUAAUUAAAAAAGGGCUUUGGUGCACAUCCUUUUAUUGCAAGUAUCUUGUUUAAGCACUUGUUAGAGUAGGACACGAUGACCAGCAUAAAAGGGAAAUCCUGUGAGAAAUUCCUUGUUAGCAGGUCAAGUUCAUGUACCAAAAACAUUAAAUAAUAGAGUACAUAAUUGUGGUUUUAUGCUAUUAAAUUAUUAAUCAUAUUAAAAUAGGUGUGAUCGUUUGGGAAAUUGUAAUUGUAAAUAUACUGGAAUACAUGAGAACUUAAAUAUUAAAAACAAUAAAAUCAG
rnacentral:misc_RNA from 1 species